GCAAGCAUAGUUUAAACCCAAACACUAGACUGUGAUCCUAGGAAUAGAAGUUAAACCCUUCUUGCUCGCC
rnacentral:tRNA from 2 species